rnacentral:pre_miRNA from 1 species
ACAAUACUCCCUCCGUCCCAAAAUUCUUGUCUUAAAUUUGUCUAGAUACGGAUGUAUCAAGUCACAUUUUAGUAUUAGAUACAUUCGUAUCUAGACAAGUUUAAGACAAGAAUUUUGGGACGGAGGGAGUACCUU